GCGGCGGACUCGUGAUGAUGCGGAUCGCAGAUACCAGAGCCGCCUGCAGGAUCUGAAAGAUCGCCUGGAGCAG
rnacentral:misc_RNA from 1 species